rnacentral:rRNA from 1 species
AGCAGCCGCGGUAAUUCCAGCUCCAAUAGCGUAUAUUAAAGUUGUUGCAGUUAAAAAGCUCGUAGUUGAAUUUCGGGAUUAAUAUGCUGGUCGUGCCAUUGGUACGUACUAGUAUUAUUGAUUUCUCCCUUCUGAUGAAUCAUGAUGUCAUUAAUUUGAUGUCAUGGGGAAUCAGGACUGUUACUUUGAAAAAUUAGAGUGUUUAAAGCAGGCUCGCGCUUGAAUACAUUAGCAUGGAAUAAUGAAAUAGGACGUUUGAUUCUAUUUUGUGGUUUCUAGGAUUGACGUAAUGAUUAAUAGGGAUAGUUGGGGGCAUUAGUAUCCAAUUGUCAGAGGUGAAAUUCUUGGAUUUAUUGAAGACUAACUACUGCGAAAGCAUUUGCCAAGGAUGUUUUCAUUAAUCAAGAACGAAAGUUAGGGGAUCGAAGACGAUCAGAUACCGUCGUAGUC